UUUCUCUGUAUUCUGUAAUACUCUUCAUUUUUCUUCAUUAAUAAAGACAAGGUUGUACUUAGGAUCAACAUUUGUGGGGACUCAAACCAAACUUCAACGUCAUGGAGAAUGGAAACAUUUUCAACAGCAAGCUACCAUUAUUUGUAUCAAACAUGACUAAAGAAGUUAAACAUGUUGGUCUCACCGCAUUUGUGGAUUUCUUGCUUAGAAAGAAGAGUCAGUCGUGCAGAAUGUCAUCUUUGCAUUAAUUUCUCCAAACAACUUUCAAUCACAUCUAAUGUGAAGUAAUUUAUGUUGAAGAAAAAGUCCUGCAAAUGCUGCUGUGUUGAAAAUAAGUUCUGCAGAAGCUGCUGUACUGCACGCAAUUUUACUAACAGGCAAAAAUGCUACAAGUCGUUUUAUAGUUUGUUAUAUAAGCAUGUGAUGUACACGUAACUAUGUAAUUAGUUGGUUAGUGGAGUUGGUUAUUUUCUGUUAAUCAAGUUAGUUACGCACUCUGUUUUCUGUGAUGUAUCCUCUCUUUGGACCAAUAAUAUUCAGUUAAGCAUUUUCAUCAUUUGGUUCUAAUUCCAAAUCUCAAUAUGGUAUCAGAGCCGAGUUAGCUCAGUGUUUUUUGUGCAUUGAUUUCCUGACUCAACUCGUUUCACCAUUGUUCGUUGUUCUCCAAGUUCUCAUUGUUGAAUUCACCUUUUCUUCUUCAAUCUUUCGUUUUCCUGGUCUUUGUUUCCAUUUCAGAAUCUUCAUUAAAAUCUUGCUUUAAGUUUCUUGAAGUUCUGCAAUUAUUUCCCUUCAAAACCUAAUUCAAGCUUUUCUUGAAUUUUAAUGGCUUCCGUUUCUACAACUCCUGAUUUUGCACCUCAAGUUCCCAUACCUGCUUAGGAAAAACCUUCCAGUCCUUACUACCUCCAUUCUGGAGAAAAUCCUAGAACAAUUCUUGUCAAAGAACCUCUCACUGAAGAGAAUUACUCAACUUGGAGUAGGUCCAUCUUGUAUGCUCUUGAUUCAAAGAACAAGACUGAGUUCAUUGAUGGUACUAUUCGAGUUCCUGCAAAUACCUCAGAUACAAUCUUUCCAGCUUGGAAAUGGUGCAAUAGGAUGGUUCUUUCAUGGCUUCUCAAUUCCAUGUCCAAAAAUUUGCUUUCUAGUGUUAUCUACUUGAACACUGCACAUGAAGUUUGGACAGAUUUGAAGAGUCGUCUCUCUCAAGGAAAUGGACCUAGGGUUUUUGAGCUUUGAAGAAUGGUAAGCAAUCUUUCUCAAGAUAAUCUUUUUGUGAGUAGUUAUUACACAAAAUUCAAGAUUGUGUGGGAUGAAUUGGCCAAUUACAAGUCUAUUCCUUCCUGUUCAUGUGGAGUCUGUACUUGUGGUUCUACGGUUGCUUCUGCACAAUAUCAAAAAGAGGAAUGCACUAUGAACUUUCUCAUGGGCCUCAAUGAAGCUUUUGCUACAGUUAGAGGUCAAAUUCUGUUAAUGGAACCUUUGUCCUCACUGAACAAAGUGUUCUCUCUUGUUACACAAGAAGAGAGGCAAAGAAGGGUUGGCUCUAACCCAAUGCCAUUGAGACUGUUGUUGCUCUUUUCUCAAAAGGUCCUAAUGGUUCUAACAAAGGCAAUUAUUCUGGUAAGCCUAAUGCCAAGAAAGAUAGGCCAAUUUGUUCACACUGUGUUGUAACUGGGCAUGUGGUGGAUAAGUGCUAUAAAAUCCAUGGUUAUCCUCCUGGAUAUAAGUCCAAGGGAAAGAGUUAUUCAGCAAACCAAGUUGCUUUCUCUCCCACUGGUUAUGCAAAUGGUAUGGAAGAGUUAACCACAAUAGCACUCACUUCAUCUCAGUGUCAACAGCUGAUGACAAUGCUUCAAUCUCAUGCUUUGGGAUCACACCAACCUAGUCUAGAGUCAUCUCUUGGGACUCAUCAAGCAGCUACUCUCAUCACUCAACCUUCCAAACCAUCUCAGCUUUCUGGUUCUUUCAACACAGCAGGACAAAACAUAUCGGGUUGGACUGCCAUUUUGUGAAGGAGAAGAUUCAAGACAAUACUGUGAAGACUUUCCAUGUCUCAACCAAACAUCGGCUUGCAGCCAUUCUAACAAAGCCUCUUGGACACCAGCAAUUCAAUAACCUUCUUUCCAAGAUGGGCAUAAAUAAUAUUUAUGCUCCACCUUGAGAGGGAGUGUUGAAGAAGUCCUGCAGAUGCUGCUGUGUUGAAGAUAAGUUCUGAGAAGCUGUUAUACUACACACAGUUUUACUAAUAGGCAGAAAUGCUACAAGUCGUUUUUUAGUUUGUUAAAUAAGCAUGUGAUGUACAUGUGACCAUACAAUUAGUUGGUUAGUUGAGUUAGUUACGCACUCUGUUUUCUGUGAUGUAUAGAAACCCUCUCUUUAGAUUAAUAAUAUUCAGUUUAAGCAUUUUCAUCA